GUGAACGCUGGCGGUAGGCCUAACACAUGCAAGUCGAACGGCAGCACAGGAGAGCUUGCUCUCUCGGUGGCGAGUGGCGGACGGGUGAGGAAUACAUCGGAAUCUGCCCAGUCGUGGGGGAUAACGUAGGGAAACUUACGCUAAUACCGCAUACGACCUUCGGGUGAAAGAGGGGGAUCGCAAGACCUCUCGCGAUUGGAUGAGCCGAUGUCGGAUUAGCUAGUUAGCGGGGUAAUGGCCCACCAAGGCGACGAUCCGUAGCUGGUCUGAGAGGAUGAUCAGCCACACUGGAACUGAGACACGGUCCAGACUCCUACGGGAGGCAGCAGUGGGGAAUAUUGGACAAUGGGCGCAAGCCUGAUCCAGCCAUACCGCGUGGGUGAAGAAGGCCUUCGGGUUGUAAAGCCCUUUUGUUGGGAAAGAAAUCUUUCAGGCUAAUACCCUGGGAGGAUGACGGUACCCAAAGAAUAAGCACCGGCUAACUUCGUG
rnacentral:rRNA from 1 species